rnacentral:lncRNA from 10 species
CUCAGGUUAUUUUUCUUGUUGACAAAUUUUUUAACAGGAAUAAUGAGCUUAUUUGACUAGCUCAGCUAGGUAGAAUGUCCAUUUCUACUACAUCAUCGACAUUCUUAUUUAUUAAAGAUUACUCAAGUUAGAUGAACUUGAAAACCAUUGGGUUAGUUCCUUUUUUCUCACAAAAUAUUUAAUUUUUACAAGCACCUAAUUUUCUUUAGGCAAAUAAAAUAGAUCUCGUUUAUAUGUUAUCUCUAAUAAUAACAUCAGAAGGUAGGGUAAUAUGAGAUAUAAAUAACAUACAUACAUAUAGACGUACAUAACCAAACAGACAGAAGCAGAGAUUCCUGGCCUCUGUUCUCAAAUUGUAGCCCUGUGCCAGGAACGAUAAUAUAAAACUCACUGGUCGGUCCAAAUUGUGUUCUUGGCAGAUAAAGUUACCUGUUCGGAUGGCCAAAGUCUUUUGUUAAUACAUAUGGAAAGGACUUUACGAUUUUCCAUUUGCCAGUUUUUUUCUACAGUGUUCCCAUUUUUUCUCCCUUCUGAUGCGUCAUUUCCCAGAUGCCUGCAUUUUAAAGAUUUCGGUAUCUCUAAGGCAGGGAGAAAGGACAUUAAGUUUUCUCCAGAAAGGAGCUGUGGGCAUAGUUGCCUGUUGUCCGGGGUCAGCUUUAUUGGGACCGUGGGCCGUGUUUAGGGGGUGGCCAGGAGACACUGGUGUGUUGACGAGUCCUUCUCCUCUUCAGCCUCAGGUGGCUGCUUUUGUAAUAGCUCAGGGUUGUGUGCAAGAGGCCAAAAUCUGAGUUAGUUGUUGCAGAUGCCCCAGGCUCAGUGGAGGAUUUAAUUUGUAAGGAAGUUGGUUUUCAGAAUCUUCUUAUGGAAAAGGCAAGAAAUCAAAAUAGCGUUUUGUUUGAGUGUUGUAGAGAUUCCUUUAGGGAGGCUGCAUUUUUGGAAUCAUUCUGUCUGAAAUCAAUCUGUAUGCCAAUCAUUCUGUCUAAAAUCAAUCGGUAUGCCAAUCAUUCUGUCUGAAAUCAAUCUGUAUGCCAAUCAUUCUGUCUGAAAUCAAUCUGUAUGCCAAUCAUUCUGUCUGAAAUCAAUCUGUAUGCCAAUCAUUCUGUCUAAAAUCAAUCGGUAUGCCAAUCAUUCUGUCUCAAAUCAAUCGGUAUGCCAAUCAUUCUGUCUGAAAUCAGUCUGUAUGCCAAUCAUUCUGUCUGAAAUCAGUCUGUAUGCCAAUCAAAAAAUAUAUUGCGUGGUUUGCAGAUACUCACGAUUCCUUGUUCUUGAAUGAGCCCGUCCGUGAAUGAUUUCAUGUGGAAUAAACUUCCCACUGUGGCCACUGUGACUCGGAGUCAUCCCCCUGAGCUGCACCCAUUUCUCCAGAAAGGCACGGGCUCUGGGUCUGUAGUUUCUGAACAUAUAAUUAGCUGGAGUUCCAGAUGGGGUGUCCCAGACUCCAUGGAUUCUGAUGAACCCAUAAUUCCCUGUUUUUCUCACAUUUUUCUUACCUGAGGCCUCCGACUGGAUCCAGGCCAGUUCCUGUAGAACACCCAGUUUCACUCUGGAUCCCAGUCCAGGUUCCAGUGCAGUCCCUGUCAGACCCAGGCUGAGCUCUGGAAUAAAAACUGCUCCCAUGGAGUCGGAGAGCUCAGGGUGCAAGUUGUGGAGCUCGACCUCCUAGAGGGGCUUCCCCUGUGGCCACCAAAUGCAGCAAGACAGCAGUGGGUGCAGUGGCCCGGGGGCUGCCCGCGCCUGGUUACUCGCUGCUCCUGGGGAUCUCACUUCUGACGAGACUGUCAAAAAGGUAAACUGAGGCACAGUGCUGUGUUUAAAGAGUUCAUUUGAGCAAGCAACAAUUCAUGAACCAGGCAGCUCCAAACCAGAGGUGGUUCAGGAACUCCCCUGAAGGAAUGUGAGGGGGAGGCUUUU